AAAAAUUUAGUUAAAUUAUAACGUCAGUUUGUCAGGCUGAAAUUAUUAUUAAAUAAUAAUUUUUA
rnacentral:tRNA from 1 species